GACACACAAAAAACUAGGGUUUCUCUCAUCCCUCAUUUGGUCCGCCGCUCAUCCUCUCAUCCUCUGCUCUCUCUCUCUAUGGCGAUUGCUGGCGACUUCAUCAGGCCUCUCUCUCGGAUCUCGCCAGAUCUCUCACCAGAUCUGUGAGGAUUUCACCAGAUCGAUGAAGUUUUUCAGGUUUGAAUCGAUAGGGUUUUGAUCGAUUGGUAGAUCCUUUGUGAUAAUCUAUUUACCAAGCCCAAUAUUGGUCCGCAAAUUAAUGCAUCAACAGUUGGGAAAGCUCUGGUUGUGGAUAUCUGUUGGAGCACUCCUUGGGUUUUUGAUUAUCUUCAACAUAUUCUUUAUCGUAGCACUAACUUCCCUGAAUCCCCCGGUGUGAUGCUAAACCUGUGAUCAGAGAGGAAAAUGAUAUAAAGAAUUCAAAAAAUAACAGCUUACAGUAGGCUCAGCUGGGAUGGCCAAUCACAUGAGCUUUGGUGGACCUCCCGUGAAAAGUGAGACAGCUGAAGAAGCUGAUGAACUUAUGAGAGUAGAUGAAAAGGCAUCUGAAGUUGGCAGAAGUUCUUUCAGCCCCUCCAAAGUUAGUUUACAGUAAAUUAAUCUUGCGCUUCACUAGAAAGCUUUUGGUGGCUGUAGCAGACAAGUGGGAUAGUCAUGUUCUGGUCAUGGACAAAGUUGCUCCACAAAACUGGAAGACUGCUGUUGUCUCACUUGGUGGAGAUGAGCGGCACUUGGUGGCAAUGCGUUCUAGAAGAAACGACUUAUUUCCAUGUUUUUGGGGAUUUAUCGAUGCGCCAGGGCUUUACGAGUCAUGCUUAGUCAUGCUGAACCUAAGAUGUUUGGGCAUCAUAUUUGAGGAUGAAACCGCCAGAGUAGCUUAACACGUAUUCAAGAUUAUUUACCACUUAAAUUGUUUUAUUUAGAAGAAAUUAUAUUAUAUAUUAAGAGUGUAGUUUUGUUAUCAAUUUUUAACAUCUGUUAUUUUAAAAUUUUACUGCUGGCGGAUCAUCCUGAACCGUCCCACCACUUUUUGACCCUAACAAACUUUAUCUAACCCGCUUUCUUUUGCCACCUCUUUUUUCUACACUCAACCAAUUGUUUUGUGUACCGUAGUGGUUUGGAGCUUGCAUCUGCAAAGCUGCGAUGCAUAGGCUAGAACGUGGUGUUUGGACCAGUGUUCGCGUUGGUGAGAUACGGCGUGCACUCUUUGGCGAAACCGUCAUUACAACAAGGAUCUAUACCGGAACUACCGGAUCGCUGCAUCAAAUUCACUUAAAGAACUUAGACCAGAUUGCGCAGAUGUUAAAAGCAGCACACGCGUGUAUAUAUCACAACGAAGAAUCAAAAAGACCAAACAUGGAUGCAAUACUUUCUAUCCUUAAAGGAGUCGAAGCAAAUCCAAGAUUAAGGAAAACACCAGCCGCGACCCCUUUAUCUUCUUAUAACUAUGCUACCGAAGGUUAUCCUCAGAUUCAACAAACACAGAAUGAAUUGAAUUCGCAUUUAGCUUUGGCAAUGCUAGGCAUUACAGAGUUUGAAGAUGAUCAUGAUCAUUUGUAUUUUUGAUGAUCGCGGUUUUGAGUGUUUGAUGACGUCAUAUCGAGGAAAGUAACAAGUUGCAGUUCUUAACAAAGGAUGAGUAUGGUUGGGUUUGAUCUCGGGAACGAAAGUUGUGUUGUGGCGGUUGCGAGACAAAGGGGGAUUGACGUUCUUAAUGACGAGUCAAAGCGUGAGACGCCUGCUAUGAGAAUCCGCAUGUUAGCUUUUUUUUUUGUUCCGGUACGUUUACGUGUGAUUUGGUUUCAGACAUUUGCUUUUUUUGUUUGUUUGCUUAUUCAAAAGGAGGUAAUUGAUGCAAUGUGGUUUGGUUUUUAUUUGGGAAAUUUGGUGAUC